rnacentral:rRNA from 1 species
UACGAAGGGGGCUAGCGUUGUUCGGAAUUACUGGGCGUAAAGCGUGCGCAGGCGGUUUCCCAAGUCAGUGGUGAAAGCCCGGAGCUCAACUCCGGAACUGCCAUUGAAACUGUGAAGCUCGAGGACGAGAGAGGUGAGUGGAAUUCCCAGUGUAGAGGUGAAAUGCGCAGAUAUCAGGAGGAACACCGGUGGCGAAGGCGGGUCUCUGGGCAGUAACUGACGCUGAGGAGCGAAAGCGUGGGGAGCGAACAGG